rnacentral:rRNA from 1 species
AGGUUUCCAGGGGAAGGCUCGUCCGCCCUGGGUUAGUCGGGACCUAAGGCGAGGCCGAAAGGCGUAGUCGAUGGACAACUGGUUGAUAUUCCAGUACUAGAUAUGAUCGUGAUGGAGGGACGCAGUAGGCUAAGAGAUGCCAGUUAAUGGAUUCUGGUCUAAGCAGUGAGGUGUGAGAUGUGUCAAAUGCAUUUCUCUCUAACAUUGAGCUGUGAUGGGGAAGCAACUACGGUUGCGAACUCUCUGAUGUCACACUGCCAAGAAAAGCUUCUAGCGUAAAGUCAUAUCUACCCGUACCGCAAACCGACACAGGUAGUCGAGGCGAGUAGCCUCAGGUGAUCGAGAGAACUCUCGUUAAGGAACUCGGCAAAAUAGCCCCGUAACUUCGGGAGAAGGGGUGCUGGUGUAAAAGCCAGCCGCAGUGAAUAGGCCCAAGCAACUGUUUAUCAAAAA